GAAAACCUGGGAUUAAAGGCGUGCACCACAGCCCUGCUCCAGUCUAAGACAACCUCAGGGUUUCCUCUCCGCGGCCAUGACACAGCUGCACCAGCAGGUGGCAGUGCGGAGUCGCAGGGUCUCAGGGUCUCACAGUGAAAUUCUGGCUGGACUGGAACUCAGAGAUCUGCCUCUACCUUCCAAGCGCUGGAAUUUAAAGAUGUACCCCACCACACCUAGCUCUGUGGCUUAGUUCCUUGUUUUGUUUCCACCCUGGGUUUCUCUGUUGAACAGCCCUAGUUAUUCUGGGACUCAUUCUAUAAGAUCAGGCUGGCCUCAAACUCACAGAUUCAACUGCCUCUGCCUCUAGAGUGCUGGAAUUAAAGGUGUGUCCCACCAUGCCUACCUUCAUGGACUAGUUCUUAAGAAUCCUCAAAGUGGGGACUGAAGAGCUGGCUCGGUGGUUAGGGCCACUAACUUCCCUUCCAGAAGUCCAGAGUUUGAUUCCAAGCAUCCACAUUGAGGCUCAACCAUCUGUACUGGGAUCCAAUGCCCUCUUCUGCUGUGUCCGACGGGAGCUACAGUUUACUCACAUACAUAAAAUACAUAAAUAAAAAUACCUGUAGAGAGGCCACUGAGGGAAGACACAGGUGGUCAGAUCUUCAAGACAGAAAGGGGUAACCAGUUUCUGUCCAGGUCAGCAAGAACUGGCCUGCUCCUGCCCUGGUCACAAAGAGAGGAAGGGGUUCUCUAAUGUUCUGCUGGAUUUCUCAUGAGACUCUACCUGACCAGUGGAGCCACCUGUAUUCCUUGGUGCCUAAUCCUGUCUAGAAACACCCUCAUGGCCACCCAAAGGGGCCUCUCCCAGCUGGUUCUAAAUCCAGUCUACUUGACAAUGAAGACCUGCUAAUGGGACACAAAAGGAAAGAUUACAUCUGUUGCAGGCUUGUAGCCAUCUGUAAUGGGAAUGAGAUAUGAUGCCCUCUUCUGCUGUGUCUAAACACAGAGUGUACUCACAUAAACCAAGUAAAUCUUACUGAUGUGGCUGGACACCCUCUA